rnacentral:rRNA from 1 species
GAUGAACGCUAGCGGCAGGCUUAACACAUGCAAGUCGAGGGGCAGCGCGGGGUAGCAAUACUCUGGCGGCGACCGGCGGAAGGGUGCGUAACACGUGAGCAACUUGCCCAUAUCAGGAGGAUAAGCAUUGGAAACGAUGUCUAAUACUGCAUAACAACAUGAGGAGCAUUCUUCAAGUUUGAAAGAUACGUCGGAUAUGGAUAGGCUCGCGGGACAUUAGCUAGUUGGAGUGGUAACGGCACACCAAGGCGACGAUGUCUAGGGGUUCUGAGAGGAAGGUCCCCCACAUUGGAACUGAGACACGGUCCAAACUCCUACGGGAGGCAGCAGUGAGGAAUAUUGGUCAAUGGGCGAGAGCCUGAACCAGCCAAGUAGCGUGCGGGACGACGGCCCUAUGGGUUGUAAACCGCUUUUGAUUGGGAACAAAGAGCGCCACGUGUGGUGCGUUGCGUGUACCUUUCGAAUAAGCAUCGGCUAAUUCCGUGCCAG